GGGGAGUUGGCGACGGGGAGGGGGGCGCAGGGCCUCUUCCCCCCUCCCCCCAGCCGUCGGGGGGCACAGAGGACCGCGGCUCUGGCCACCCACCCCAACCAACGAGCCAAGCCCCCUCAGGGGGAGCUGUCAGUCAGAUUCCUGAUGAUGGCUGGGGGACAGGAGAUCAGCUCUCCUUGAGCUCGGCUUCUGGGAGGGAAAGGACCUCCCUCUCCCCACUGCUGGCUCUAAGGAUGAGAUAUGGAGCCAGGAUGACGAUGGCAAUUGAACCCUGACUGGGGUCAGCAAGGAAAUCAAGGAAACAAAGGAGUCUUAUGCUGUAGCCCAAGCUGACUUCAAUCUUACGGCAAUCCUCCUGCUUCACCCUCUUGAGUACAAGUGUGCACCACCUUACCCAGAAAAAAUUGAAGAGGCAGAUUUUAUAUCAUUCUGACACCAUGGUGCCCAGGUGGGGAGCAAGCCUGAGACAGCCACCAGCCUGGCUCCACAUAGCCGGGCAGGAAGACUGUGCCAGAGACAACCCUCAGCCCAUUGCCACUCCGCCUGAGCAGGGAGGAAGCCUGAGAUGACGCCCCGCCCCCCAGUCAGGUUCCACAGUGCCCAGGUGGGCAGACUAUGCCAGAGACAAUCCCUUCCCCUGUCUGGGUCUGUUACCGCCAAAGGCCAGGCGGACAUCCCUGGUCUGGCUACUGCUUGGGACCGUGUUGAUGUCUGAGGGCUCUGCAAAGCUGGCCCCACCUCAUGCCUGGACAUCCUGGGAGAGCUGGCUCUGAGGGCAGGAGAGCAGGAGAGCUGGCCCUGCCCCUCACCAGCUGCAGAACUCAGGGACACGGGUCUUGCACCUCACCUGGGCAGUGCAAUAGAACUGGCCCUGCUGGCAUAGGUGCAAGUGGGCUGGCCCAGAGGGCAUGAGAGCGGGGGAGCUGGGUCUUCCCUUUGCCUGCUAUGGCAUUAGAUGAGCUGACUGGACAGUGCUGGGGAGCAUGCCCUGAUGGUGUGGGCAUGGCACAGUGGGUGAGCCGAGCAGCUCAGCUACCACCCAGGCCCAGCUCCAGGGCCUUGAGUUGUCCCACCCCAUCUAACUCAUCUAUGAACUGCAAGCAUGUCAGGGGCUGGUCCUGCAGAUCCAAAGCUGUAGGAUCUUCAUGACACAGGGCAACAACGGGAUAGCUGAGAGGAGUCCCCAUGAGGAUCCAGUACUGACAGUGUAGCAGAAGCCAGAGGCCCCAAACCAGUCCAAUGACUCACUGCAAUGAACAUUUGCAAUCGAAGAAGGGUGGGCAAAAGGGUAGACUGUGAGACACACUGUGACAAAAUGCAGUUUCCAUAAUUUUUUUCUUUUGGCGGGGGCGGGGGAAAGGUUGCAAGGACAGGGGCGGAUAUGGAGGGGCAGGGAGAUGAGUGGGAUUGGUGGGCAUAAUGUGAAACUCACAAAGAAGAAAAAAAGGUAAUAAUAAUAAUAAUAAUAAUAAUAAUAAUAAUAAUAAUAGUUUUCACCACUGACAUACAGCCCAGCCUUAUGCCUUUCUUUGUUUACACUUAUCAACUUUCUCACUGCUGAGACUAAACGCCUGGCAAGAGGCACCUCAAGGGAGGAAGGAUUUAUUUUGGUUUCCACUUCGAGGAUACCGUCCAUCCUGUCAGGGAAGGCAUAGCGACUGGAGCAGGAGGCUACUGGCCAUAAAGCAUCCACAGUCAGGAAUCAGGUCAGCUGUAAGACCAACAGGCACACCCCCCCCCCCCGCCCCAGGGACAUACUGCAGCCAGGCUCCUCCUCCUAAAGGUCUCCAUAUUCAAACCACAACAAUGCUCUAAAUACAUUUUAGAUGCAGCCAUCUUCACGGUGUCAGAAUCGCGUUAAUUUAUUCCACCAUUCAAUGGUAUCGCUUCUGUUUUGUACUCCAUUAAAAAGAAUACUCCACUCAAGGAGAUUUAUUUAUUUAUGACUUCAACAUGCUCAUAAAUGUCACCCAACACAAGAAUAAGCCAGAAGAGAAAUAUACAAUGAUCAUAACAGAUUGCUUAAAGUAAUUUAUUCUGAAAAUUAAGUCCAAACCUAGGCCACUAGGGCUUCUUCCCAAGGCUUUGGGAGAGGCUUAUGCAGGAGUGGGGACCUGAAGCCUUAGCCUCUUAUCUCUCACAUUAGCUUCUGGGUGUGAAUGUUAAGUAUAUGUUUGUUAUUUUGAUGGUUUGAAUGAGAAGAGCCCUCAUAAACUCAUUUAUUUGAAUACUUGGUACCCAGUUAGUUGUGCAACUAUUUAGAAAGGAUUAGGCGGUGUGGCAUUAUUGGAAGAAGUGUGCUGCUGGGGUGGUCUCUGUCUCUGUCUCUGUCUCUGUCUCUGUCUCUGUCUCUCUCUCAGCAUUUGUGAAGAAGGCUACUGCUGUCAGAUACUGCUCCAGUAUAACACGACACAAGUCACAACCCCAAGCAACCCCAGCAGCCUCUGGAUAGAGCCUCUGUAGUACAGCUGCUCCAUUUGUCUUGACAGAAGGGUCAUUGCCAACACUUUGACCAGUCGCCAUAACAACAAAGCAAAGCCCAGUGUGGUGGCUCACGCCUGUAACCCCAGACCCAAGGCAGGAUGAAGAAAGAAGAUUGCUGAGACGUCAAGGGCAGCCUGGGACAUGGUGUGUUCAAGGGCAGCUCGGGUCCUGAUGAGUCCCAGGCUAGCCUAGCUAUAAAGGGAGACCCUGUGCUAAAACAAAAACAAAAAACAAAAACAACAGCGAGAAGUCGUACAGCUGGCCUCUGGUGAUAGGCCUGCAAAUAUUCCCUCUUGGAAAGAGGCAGGAAGGCUCACAGUAUCCAUAUUCACCCCUCCCUGAGCAGAUCACACACCCUCCCGGCACCGCUGCAUAUAAUCUAAAGCCUAUUAGCGGGGCUAGACCAGCGCUUCUCCACCUUCCUAAUAUUCUGACCCUUUAGUACAGUUCCUCAUGUUGUGGCGGUCCCCACUAACAACUGUAAGUUUGGACUGCUGCGAAUCACAGUGUGUUGUCUGGUGGUCCUUGGUGACCCCUGUGAAAGGGGUUGUGGCUCGAAGGUUGAGAACCACUGGACUAGAGGGAUAGCUAAGAUAUAAGGAGUUUGGUUCUCAGCACCCAUGGGAGCAGCUUAUAACUAUUUGAAAUUUCAGCUCACGGGGGGGGGGGGUCCUAUGCCUUUGGCCUCUCUGAGCACCUGACCACAUAUGCAAAUACCCAUGCACAGACACAUAGUUAAUCAUAAAAUAGAGGUGGUUUUUUUUAAGUUCUGAAGUAUAUAAGACAUUUAAAAAAACGCUGGGACCUGGUGAGAUGGCUCAGUAGGUAAAGUCACCUGCUCAAGUGGAUGACAUGAGUUCAGUCCCCGGAACCAAUGUGUUGGAAGGGGAAAAUGAAUCCCUCCAUGUUGUCUUCUGACCAUCCACAUGCACAAUGGUACACACACACACACACACACACACACACACACACACACACACAUGCAUACACGCACA